UCUACGGGCGGCAGCAGUGGGGAAUAUUGGGCAAUGGGCGCAAGCCUGACCCAGCAACGCCGCGUGAAGGAAGAAGGCUUUCGGGUUGUAAACUUCUUUUCUCAGGGACGAAGCAAGUGGCGGUACCUGAGGAAUAAGCCACGGCUAACUACGUGCCAGCAGCCGCGGUAAUACGUAGGUGGCAAGCGUUAUCCGGAUUUACUGGGUGUAAAGGGAGUGUAGGCGGGGACGCAAGUCAGAUGUGAAAACCACGGGCUCAAACUGUGGCCCGCAAUUGAAACGGUGUUUCUGGUGGACUGGAGAGGCAGACGGAAUUCCUAGUGUAGCGGUGAAAUGCGUAGAUAUUAGGAGGAACACCAGUGGCGAAGGCGGUCUGCUGGACAGCAACUGACGCUGAGGCGCGAAAGCGUGGGGAGCAAACAGGAUUAGAUACCCCUGUAGUC
rnacentral:rRNA from 1 species